rnacentral:rRNA from 1 species
AGGACGAACGCUGGCGGCGUGCUUAACACAUGCAAGUCGAGCGGAAAGGCCCUUCGGGGUACUCGAGCGGCGAACGGGUGAGUAACACGUGGGCAACCUGCCCUUAGCUCUGGGAUAGCUCCGGGAAACCGGAAUUAAUACCGGAUACGACCACGGCCGACAUCUGCUGUGGUGGAAAGGAUUCCGGCUAAGGAUGGGCUCGCGGCCUAUCAGCUAGUUGGUGGAGUAACGGCCCACCAAGGCGACGACGGGUA